rnacentral:rRNA from 1 species
UACGUAGGGUGCAAGCGUUUGUCCGGAAUUAUUGGGCGUAAAGAGCUCGUAGGCGGUCUGUCGCGUCGGAUGUGAAAAAUCCAGGGCUUAACCCUGGGCCUGCAUUCGAUACGGGCAGACUAGAGUUCGGUAGGGGGAGACUGGAAUUCCUGGUGUAGCGGUGAAAUGCGCAGAUAUCAGGAGGAACACCGGUGGCGAAGGCGGGGUCUCUAGGCCGACACUGACGCUGAGGAGCGAAAGCGUGGGGGAGCGAACAGG